rnacentral:rRNA from 1 species
ACAUCCGGUGCCGGGACCGUGCAUGGCAGGCAGUUUGACUGGGGCGGUCUCCUCCCAAAGAGUAACGGAGGAGUGCGAAGGUAACCUAGGUACGGUCGGAAAUCGUACUGAUAGUGCAAUGGCAUAAGGUUGCUUGACUGCGAGACGGACAGGUCGAGCAGGUGCGAAAGCAGGUCAUAGUGAUCCGGUGGUUCUGAAUGGAAGGGCCAUCGCUCAACGGAUAAAAGGUACUCCGGGGAUAACAGGCUGAUACCGCCCAAGAGUUCACAUCGACGGCGGUGUUUGGCACCUCGAUGUCGGCUCAUCACAUCCUGGG